rnacentral:rRNA from 1 species
AGAUUGAACGCUGGCGGAAUGCUUUACACAUGCAAGUCGAACGGCAGCACGGGGGCAACCCUGGUGGCGAGUGGCGAACGGGUGAGUAAUACAUCGGAACGUGCCCAGUCGUGGGGGAUAACUACGCGAAAGCGUAGCUAAUACCGCAUACGAACUCUGGUUGAAAGCGGGGGAUCGCAAGACCUCGCGCGAUUGGAGCGGCCGAUGGCAGAUUAGGUAGUUGGUGGGGUAAAGGCUCACCAAGCCGACGAUCUGUAGCUGGUCUGAGAGGACGACCAGCCACACUGGGACUGAGACACGGCCCAGACUCCUACGGGAGCAGCAGUGGGAAUUUUGGACAAGUGGGCGCAAGCCUGGAUCCACGCCAUUCCGCGUGCAGGAUGGAAGGUCCCGUCGGGUUGUAAACGUGUCGUUUUUAGUACGGAACGAAACGCGCUAGACGUUAAUACCGUCGGACGUUAAUGAACGGUUACCGUAAGAAUAACGCGAACCGGCUAAACCGUACGUCGCCGA